rnacentral:rRNA from 1 species
CAUAUCAAUAAGCGGAGGAAAAGAAACCAACAGGGAUUGCCUUAGUAACGGCGAGUGAAGCGGCAACAGCUCAAAUUUGAAAUCUGGCCCUCGGGUCCGAAUUGUAAUUUGUAGAGGAUGAUUUUGGUGCGGUAUCUUCCGAGUUCCUUGGAACAGGACGCCUUAGAGGGUGAGAGCCCCGUACGGUUGAAUGCCUAGCCUCUGUAAAUCUCCUUCGACGAGUCGAGUAGUUUGGGAAUGCUGCUCUAAAUGGGAGGUAAAUUUCUUCUAAAGCUAAAUAUUGGCCAGAGACCGAUAGCGCACAAGUAGAGUGAUCGAAAGAUGAAAAGCACUUUGAAAAGAGGGUUAAAUAGCACGUGAAAUUGUUGAAAGGGAAGGAUUUGUGACCAGACUUUUUCUGGGCGGAUCAUCCGGGGUUCUCUCCGGUGCACUUUGCCCAGUAAAGGCCAGCAUCGAUUUUCGGCGGCGGAUAAAAGCAGUGGGAAUGUGGCUCCCUACGGGGAGUGUUAUAGCCCAUUGUAUAAUACGCUG